rnacentral:misc_RNA from 1 species
AACGCACAUUGCGCCCUCCGGUAUUCCGGGGGGCAUGCCUGUUCGAGCGUCAUUACAACCCUCAAGCUUUGCUUGGUAUUGGGUGCUACCGUUUUGGUACACCUUAAAAUCAGUGGCGGUGCCACCUGGCUUCUAGCGUAGUAAUACUCCUCGCUAUGGAGAUGGGCGUGUACUUGCCAUAACCCCCAAUUUUUUUAAGGUUGACCUCGGAUCAGGUAGGGAUACCCGCUGAACUUAA